rnacentral:rRNA from 1 species
UGGGGGAUAUUGCACAAUGGGGGAAACCCUGAUGCAGCAACGCCGCGUGAGGGAAGAAGGUUUUCGGAUUGUAAACCUCUGUCCUCGGCAAAGAAGAAGAUGACGGUAGCCGAGGAGGAAGCUCCGGCUAACUACGUGCCAGCAGCCGCGGUAAUACGUAGGGAGCGAGCGUUGUCCGGAAUUACUGGGUGUAAAGGGUGCGUAGGCGGCCUAGCAAGUCAGGCGUGAAAUACAUGGGCUUAACCCAUGGGCUGCGCUUGAAACUGUAUGGCUUGAGUGAAGUAGAGGCAGGCGGAAUUCCCGGUGUAGCGGUGAAAUGCGUAGAGAUCGGGAGGAACACCAGUGGCGAAGGCGGCCUGCUGGGCUUUAACAGACGCUGAGGCACGAAAGCGUGGGUAGCAAACAGG